rnacentral:rRNA from 1 species
GACGAACGCUGGCGGCGUGCUUAACACAUGCAAGUCGAACGGAAAGGCCCUGCUUUUGUGGGGUGCUCGAGUGGCGAACGGGUGAGUAACACGUGAGUAACCUGCCCUUGACUUUGGGAUAACUUCAGGAAACUGGGGCUAAUACCGGAUAGGAGCUCCUGCUGCAUGGUGGGGGUUGGAAAGUUUCGGCGGUUGGGGAUGGACUCGCGGCUUAUCAGCUUGUUGGUGGGGUAGUGGCUUACCAAGGCUUUGACGGUAGCCGGCCUGAGAGGGUGACCGGCCAAAGUGGGACAGAGAUACGGCACGCACCACUGAGGGAUGCAGCAGAAGGGAAUAGUGCACGAUGGAGGGAAGCCGGAUGCAGCACCGCCGCGUGCGGGAUUACGGCCUUCGGUUUUUAAGCCGUUAUCGCCUGUGACGAAGCGUGGGUGACGGUAAUGUGUAAAGAAGCACCGGCUAACUACGUG